rnacentral:rRNA from 1 species
CUAGUAAUCACAGGUCAGCAUACUGUGGUGAAUACGUUCCCGGGCCUUGUACACACCGCCCGUCACACCAUGAGAGUUGAGAAUACCCGAAGCCCAUGUCAAAGUGGUCGAAGGUAGGCUUGAUGAUUGGGGUGAAGUCGUAACAAGGUACC